CAUUUGGCUACUCCAGUUAAUAUCUUUCUGCACUGCAGAGCUUUGCAGAAAAUUUUAAUAAAGAAGAAAAUACAAAAAAUUACAAUGAAGAUUACAUUACAGAAAACCAGCAGAACAAAGAAAAAGAAGUGGUAAAACAUGUGAUCCAAAACAAUAAGCAAGAACCAAAUGACAAUAAAUUACAACUUGAAUUUAUGGCAAUGGUCACAACAAUUUUCUUGAGUUCAGAAUGGUGCUCCUUACAAUUGGGCCAGUUGAGAUUAAGAUAAUUACAAAGAAGUUUUAGAUUAAGUGUCUCAUUUUCAAAUUUAAUACAAUUAAAGAGAAUAUGGUCUGUGUUUUCUACUUCAUUACAUUCGUCACAAAACUCAGAGUCAGCAUGACCAAACCUUGCGAGAUAGCAGUUCAGAGAGCAAUGUCUGGAAAGGAACUGUGCAAACCAAGCACUGAAACCGUGCAACAAGAUAGGAAUGAUAUUGCCAUUAUAAAUGUCCCUGAGGGUCUCAGCAAAGACACCCAGCUCCUCCUGGCAAACUUAGCCACACUGUGGAAUAGUGUAAUAGCCUUAUGUCUUAAUCGAUAAUAGGCUGUGGCAUCCAAAGCCUAUUAUCGAUUAUUAUGCCCAAAUAUUUCAAUUUAUCAACUACUCGAACAAUAUUACCAUUGAUUUUAACAAUCGGAGGCUUCUCCAUGGAACAAACGCAGGGAAAAAAACAAUAGCCUCACUCUUUAAAAAAAAUAAAUUUUUUUUUUUUUUUUUGGUUGGAGAAAU
rnacentral:lncRNA from 1 species